AGGCAAAUGAACCAGAUCGUGGACGGGGCCUCUGGGUGGCAGCUCCGGCCUUUUGGUUGUUGGACAACUAUAGUCAGAACUGAAAUGGAACAGGGGCAGGAGAAAUAACACACUUUUACUCCACGCAACUGUUGCUUUCACAUGAUCUUCAGGAAUGUAACUGGGAUAAUUGUCCAAAUUGAAUCCCAUACCCUGUCAUGCAUACCAGAAUAGGAGUCCUGUCUUAACUGAGCAAUAUACACUAUGGAGAGAUCCUUCAAAACCCGUCGGGACGAAUAACAGAUGAAUUCAUAAAACUGUUCAUCUCUGUUAUCCUGAAUGGUCACUCAGACAACAUUUUACUCAACUAUAAAGGGGAACACUUAAAGUGCAUAUGAGAAGAGAAGAGAAUGACCACAGGAGAAAAUCAUCUCAGCUUUCUCCACCCAGGGCAAAGGCAACAACAACAAACGUCCUAUACUCAAGCCGACUGACCUCAUCUCGUUCCACCCCACCUCAUCCAAUCAGAAAUCUCACACGCUCCAGGCAAGAGCUCAAGUCAGUCACCGAUAGGCUGACAGAUCCGGAUCACGAGCAAUACGCAUGCUUUUUUACUGCGCAUGCUCAGGCAAGGCAGUAAACAUGCCACGAUUUCCUAACCAGAAUCUGUAAGAGAGAUUCCAAGAACUUGGGAGAAGCAUAUUGUGUGAUGUUCUAUAUUUAUGAGACCCAUAGCAAACUGUGAAGAGAUAACAGAAUGCUUUUUGCGUGAGCUGAAACAGUAGAUGAAAUCUUUCAUUAAAAUUACUCAUACUUUGGGUCCUAUUCUUAUUUAUAAAUAAAUAUUAUUGCAAA
rnacentral:lncRNA from 1 species